CCGUAGCUGGUCUGAGAGGACGACCAGCCACACUGGAACUGAGACACGGUCCAGACUCCUACGGGAGGCAGCAGUGGGGAAUUUUGGACAAUGGGGGCAACCCUGAUCCAGCCAUUCCGCGUGAGUGAAGAAGGCCUUCGGGUUGUAAAGCUCUUUCGGCAGGAACGAAACGGUCUUCUCUAACAUAGGAGGCUAAUGACGGUACCUGAAGAAGAAGCACCGGCUAACUACGUGCCAGCAGCCGCGGUAAUACGUAGGGUGCGAGCGUUAAUCGGAAUUACUGGGCGUAAAGCGUGCGCAGGCGGUUUUGUAAGACAGGUGUGAAAUCCCCGGGCUUAACCUGGGAACUGCGCUUGUGACUGCAAGACUUGAGUGUGGCAGAGGGGGGUGGAAUUCCACGUGUAGCAGUGAAAUGCGUAGAGAUGUGGAGGAACACCGAUGGCGAAGGCAGCCCCCUGGGUCAACACUGACGCUCAUGCACGAAAGCGUGGGGAGCAAACAGGAUUAGAUACCCUGGUAGUCCACGCCCUAAACGAUGCGAACUAGGUGUUGGGGAAGGAGACUUCUUUAGUACCGUAGCUAACGCGUGAAGUUCGCCGCCUGGGGAGUACGGUCGCAAGAUUAAAACUCAAAGGAAUUGACGGGGACCCGCACAAGCGGUGGAUGAUGUGGAUUAAUUCGAUGCAACGCGAAAAACCUUACCUACCCUUGACAUGCCAGGAAUCCUGCCGAGAGGUGGGAGUGCCCGAAAGGGAGCCUGGACACAGGUGCUGCAUGGCUGUCGUCGGCUCGUGUCGUGAGAUGUUGGGUUAAGUCCCGCAACGAGCGCAACCCUUGUCAUUAGUUGCUACAUUCAGUUGGGCACUCUAGUGAGACUGCCGGUGACAAACCGGAGGAAGGUGGGGAUGACGUCAAGUCCUCAUGGCCCUUAUAGGUGGGGCUACACACGUCAUACAAUGGCUGGUACAGAGGGUUGCCAACCCGCGAGGGGGAGCCAAUCCCAUAAAACCAGUCGUAGUCCGGAUCGCAGUCUGCAACUCGACUGCGUGAAGUCGGAAUCGCUAGUAAUCGCGGAUCAGAAUGUCGCGGUGAAUACGUUCCCGGGUCUUGUACACACCGCCCGUCACACCAUGGGAGCGGGUUCUGCCAGAAGUAGUUAGCCUAACCGCAAGGAGGGCGAUUACCACGGCAGGGUUCGUGACUGGGGUGAAGUCGUAACAAGGUAACCGUAA
rnacentral:rRNA from 1 species